UGGACCGGGAGAUUAUUGGGCUAAGCAUCCGUAGCCGGCUGACAAGUCUCCUGUUAAAUCCAGCGACUUAAUCGUUGGACUGCGGGGGAUACUGCUCGGCUAGGGGACGGGAGAGGUAGACGGUAUUCCCGGGGUAGGGGUGAAUCCUAUAAUCCCGGGAGGACCACCAGUGGCGAAGGCUGUCUGCUAGAACGCGCCCGACGGUGAGGGAUGAAAGCUGGGGGAGCGAACCGGAUUAGAUACCCGGGUAGUCCCAGCUGUAAACGAUGCAGACUAGGUGUUGGGGCGGCUACGUGCCACUCUAGUGCCGCAGGGAAGCUGUUAAGCCUGCCGCCUGGGGAGUACGGUCGCAAGGUUGAAACUUAAAGGAAUUGGCGGGGGGAGCACAAA
rnacentral:rRNA from 1 species